GAUCCGGUAGCUCAGCUGGAUAGAGCGGCUGCCUCCUAAGCAGCAGGUCGCCUGUUCGAAUCAGGUCCGGGUCA
rnacentral:tRNA from 5 species